rnacentral:rRNA from 1 species
GAUGAACGCUAGCGGCAGGCCUAACACAUGCAAGUCGAGGGGUAACGAUGUCUUCGGACAGUCGACGACCGGCGCACGGGUGAGUAUCGCGUUUGUAACCUACCUUUAACUGGAGAAUAGCCCGAAGAAAUUCGGAUUAAUACUCCAUAGCACUAUGAUCUGGCAUCUUAUUAUAGUUAAAGCUCCGGCGGUUAAAGAUGGGCAUGCGUAACAUUAGUUUGUUGGCGAGGUAACGGCUCACCAAGACUACGAUGUUUAGGGGGUCUGAGAGGAUGGUCCCCCACACUGGUACUGAGACACGGACCAGACUCCUACGGGAGGCAGCAGUGAGGAAUAUUGGUCAAUGGGCGCAAGCCUGAACCAGCCAUGCCGCGUGAAGGAUGACAGCGCUAUGCGUUGUAAACUUCUUUUGUACAGGAAGAAAUACUUCUACGUGUAGAAGCUUGACGGUACUGUACGAAUAAGCAUCGGCUAACUCCGUGCCAGCAGCCGCGGUAAUACGGAGGAUGCAAGCGUUAUCCGGAUUUAUUGGGUUUAAAGGGUACGUAGGCGGAAAAUUAAGUCAGUAGUGAAAUCCUGCAGCUUAACUGUAGAACUGUUAUUGAUACUGGUUUUCUUGAAUAUAGUUGAGGUAGGCGGAAUGUGUAAUGUAGCGGUGAAAUGCUUAGAUAUUACACAGAACACCGAUUGCGAAGGCAGCUUACUAAGCUAUGAUUGACGCUGAGGUACGAAAGCGUGGGGAGCGGACAGGAUUAGAUACCCUGGUAGUCCACGCCGUAAACGAUGAUCACUCGUUGUUGGCAAUACAUCGUCAGCGACCGAGCGAAAGCAUUAAGUGAUCCACCUGGGGAGUACGCUCGCAAGAGUGAAACUCAAAGGAAUUGACGG